rnacentral:rRNA from 1 species
AGUGAACGCUGGCGGUAGGCCUAACACAUGCAAGUCGAACGGCAGCACAGUAAGAGCUUGCUCUUACGGGUGGCGAGUGGCGGACGGGUGAGGAAUACAUCGGAAUCUACUUUUUCGUGGGGGAUAACGUAGGGAAACUUACGCUAAUACCGCAUACGACCUACGGGUGAAAGCAGGGGAUCUUCGGACCUUGCGCGAUUGAAUGAGCCGAUGUCGGAUUAGCUAGUUGGCGGGGUAAAGGCCCACCAAGGCGACGAUCCGUAGCUGGUCUGAGAGGAUGAUCAGCCACACUGGAACUGAGACACGGUCCAGACUCCUACGGGAGGCAGCAGUGAGGAAUAUUGGACAAUGGGCGCAAGCCUGAUCCAGCCAUACCGCGUGGGUGAAGAAGGCCUUCGGGUUGUAAAGCCCUUUUGUUGGGAAAGAAAAGCAGCAGGUUAAUACCCCGCUGUUCCGACGGUACCCAAAGAAUAAGCACCGGCUAACUUCGUG